CAAUGCUCCGCAGCACGCUUUCGACCCGUUUACCCUGCCCGGACAUCAGCGGGGGAAAACUCCUUAAGGCCCGAAUCCGCCUUGCUCCGCCGGGCAACUCUGCCUAUAGCUCUUGCUUUAAUGACAACUGCAUCGAAAUCGACUUUCGUCCUCGGACACCGGCAUUUGCUGGGCAUCGAGGGCCUUUCCGCGGCCGAUAUCAGCGGCCUUCUGGACCUUUCCGAAGAGUUCGUCGAACUGAACCGGCAGGUCGA
rnacentral:misc_RNA from 1 species